CAAACACUUUGGUGGGUCCGGUGGUGCUGGUGAGUCUAGGACGCAAAGCAAAGCCGACCGCGGCAGCAGCCAGGACUCGGACGCGGAAACCUUCGUGAGCCAAACAGCAGCAGCGGAACGCCUUCGAAGGAGGGUGGUGCAGGAGCGGGACGAGGUCGAGUGCUCGAAAAGGACAAGGCCAGUUUCCUGCAGGAACUGCAGCUGUUCCACGGCCGGAAUGCGAUGAGAGGUAGGAAUGUGGAUUCGCACCGGUUGUAUUGGGUGGUGGUGGCCCGGGAUUGGUGGUUGAAGGUCAAUUCGCGUGAGAUUAAUUUCCGGUUUUUGGACAAGUACGCGAAAGUUUAUUUUCACGAUGGGCCUCCGAUGAAGAGGAGGACGACGAAAAGCUACAUAAUCGGAAGUGGUCAGCGCAGAUGUUGCACUCGGUGCCGGCGGUUUACAGCACCGCAACUUCCCGCCUACAAACACUCACGUCUCGACGGCGCAGCUUCAGCCGAAUGAAUCUGGACAGUGAGCCAAAAAAA